rnacentral:rRNA from 1 species
AUGUGGCUGUUGUGCAAUCCGUCGUUGCUUCAAUCCAUAAAGCAUCCCACAACUGUGUGUGCAAAAUGGGCUAAAAACUACAGGAUUAGGAUUGGCAAAGUGUCAGAUCAGACGGAAAGCAAUCCAAGUCGAGUUCCUACGCUCGAGGCUUCGAUGCGUGCUUAUGCAGACAAGAAAGCUGGUACUAUUGUUCAUCCCGUAUUGGGGACAAGUUUUGACUUGGUCGAAGAACCUUACGAGUUUUACAAUAUUACUCAUGGGAUACUGUGUUUUGGUGUCAGGUGUGCUAAAAGCCGGUUGAACGUUCAUCGGAAAAAAUGCAUCCAGGAAAUUGUGUGCAUGUGUGUGGGGCAGAGCACAACCAGACUUUCUGUCAACUAUAUGGAGAAAUUACACUGGAAGUCUCAUCGGCACAUAGAUAGAUACACAAGGGACCUUGUGAAACAGCAGAGGGAAAAAUUAAAAGAGGCGCCAUUCACCAAAAGGUCUCUGAAGAAGCUUAACCAAGAGCAAUCAGGAAAUGAUGCAACAAAGACCAUAGAGGUGUUCAACGCGAUGAGGGGUGAAGAUCCUGAUUUCACAUACAGUGUACAGCACCAACAAAGAAAAGGGCAGCUGGACGCCCUAGCACAAGUCGCGGCAAAGCACCAUAUGAGCAACCAAAAAAGAGGUCUAGGUUCUGUUCUAUCUGCAGAGGUUAAGGUCACAAGAGCACCACUUUUCCGCAACGAGGAGAUCUUCCAAAGGCGUCGAGGAAGUCGCCUCGAUGCUCCAGAUGCAGCUGUUGAGGUCACGGGAAGAACACUUGCACCAACCCGCCCAAAGCAGACUUUGGAGACUGAUUUUAGAAUGGCUCGUAUUUGA